rnacentral:tRNA from 1 species
UCCCUUUUAGAGCUCAGUCGGUAGAGCAUGAGACUCUGAAUCUAUGGGUCGUGGGUUUAAGCCCCACUUUGGGCA